GGGCUUAGGUUCAAGGGUUGGAUCAAUCAAUAUUCUCUUCACCAAGAGAGGGGAAGAUCAAGAGAGAGAGAGAAAAAAAGGCUACUGAUUUCUUGAGAAGAAAAUCAGCAAAUCAGAUUGGCGAAGGUCUUUAAUCAAGAUCCGUGUGGAUCACCAUUGGAGGGUAUAUGCAUGUGUACAUCAAGGAAGACCAAUCAGCUAUCAAAUC
rnacentral:lncRNA from 1 species